rnacentral:rRNA from 1 species
UAGCGCGGUGGUCCCACCUGACCCCAUGCCGAACUCAGAAGUGAAACGCCGUAGCGCCGAUGGUAGUGUAGGGUCUCCCCAUGCGAGAGUAGGGAACUGCCAGGC